UACGUAGGGAGCGAGCGUUGUCCGGAAUUAUUGGGCGUAAAGGGCUCGUAGGCGGUUUGUCGCGUCGGGAGUGAAAACCAGGUGCUUAACACCUGGCUUGCUUUCGAUACGGGCAGACUAGAGGUAUUCAGGGGAGAACGGAAUUCCUGGUGUAGCGGUGAAAUGCGCAGAUAUCAGGAAGAACACCCGUGGCGAAGGCGGCUCUCUGGAACGCAACUGACGCUGAGACGCGAAAGCGUGGGGAGCAAACAGG
rnacentral:rRNA from 1 species